UGAUAUCUUAUACAGUCUUUGGAUAUAAGUGAAAAUAAGCCAAAUUCAAAUAUCAGAAUAUGACCUUGACCUUUGACCUUGACCUAAUUUUCAUUUUUUGGACCAAGGACCUCAAAUCAAAAGAUCCUAGGUCUCUAUCACUUAUGAUUUAUAAGAUAGAAAUUCAUAUCACUUAUAUCAGAUGCAUAAGGGGAAAUAACUCUCAUAUGGAGCGGUCAUAUCGCUUCGGUCAAAAUAGGACAAAUCAUGCGAAGGAUAUAACGAGCAAUUUUGUAAAAUAAAUUUGUCAUAAUCUUUUUUACGGUUGCGAAGGAGAUGCGCUAACAAGGAAACAGUGUUUGGGGAGAUAACUCCUACAAAGAAAAGUAUUCGUUUAAGCAGGG
rnacentral:lncRNA from 1 species